GAGAAGGGACACGGCCGGAGAGAAAGAGGUCCGGCGGAGAAGGAAGUCAGCCCUGGAGACAGGGAAGAAGGACUUCGAUCAUUGACAACUGAAUCGGCAGAAAUACAAGAAGAGGGCAACGCAGGACCGGGGGAACCCGGAGAAUGCGAGUCAACAAGCUUUUUGGAGCAAGGGCGAAGAGUAAGCGUUCAAGUGACAAAGGGCAGACGGGGAAUGCCUAGGCAGCAGAAGGCGAAGAAGGACGUGGCGAGCUGCGAAAAGCUUCGGGGAGCCGCUCACAGGCGUUGAUCCGGAGGAAUCCG
rnacentral:rRNA from 1 species